GGCGAAAGCCCCACCAUCCAUCCGCUCUGCCUCCAUCUCCCUCAUUCUGAAUGGACGCUUCCUUCCUUGGUGUAACUCUCCCAGCCAGGUGGAGGGCUGAAAGGCUGAACUAGAAAUCAAGAAAGCUGCCUAAUUGGAGGCUGCAGCAUGCCAGAGGGUGAAAUUAAGGGAGGAAGAGGAGCCUCCUUCGGUGGAGAUGCCAUGAAUAUGAGAGAGCAGAAGUUAAGUGUGAAGAAGGGGAGCACAUCUCUACACUGCUGAGAGCAAGAAAUAAAAUUUUCCCAAUUACAGGUUUCCACUGUAAUUUUCCUCUUUGAAGAAUAAUAAAACACUACACCCA
rnacentral:lncRNA from 1 species